rnacentral:rRNA from 1 species
GGAGACUUCGGUCUCUUAGUAAAGCGGCGCACGGGUGAGUAACGCGUGGGUAAUCAACCUUCGAGUGGGGAAUAACAGUGGGAAACUGCUGCUAAUUCCGCAUGAUGUUCACAGACUUCGGUUUGUGAACCAAAGCCGGGGACCUUCGGGCCUGGCGCUUGAAGACGAGCCCGCGUCCGAUUAGUUUGUUGGUGGGGUAAUGGCCUACCAAGACUUCGAUCGGUAGCCGGCCUGAGAGGGCGGACGGCCACACUGGAACUGAGACACGGUCCAGACUCCUACGGGAGGCAGCAGUGGGGAAUUUUUCGCAAUGGGGGAAACCCUGACGAAGCAACGCCGCGUGAAGGAUGAAGGCCUUCGGGUCGUAAACUUCUGUCAACUGGGAAGAAAGCGUCCAACCUAAUACGUUGUGGCGUUGACUGUACCGGUGGAGGAAGCUCCGGCUAACUCUGUGCCAGCAGCCGCGGUAAUACAGAGGGAGCAAGCGUUGUUCGGAAUUACUGGGCGUAAAGGGCGCGUAGGCGGUUCAGCAAGUCUUGUGUGAAAUCCCCCGGCUC